rnacentral:rRNA from 1 species
AUGGCUCUUCAGUAUCCUAUACUUUUCCCAUAUGGUGAUAAGAGUUACCAUCGUGGUAUUAAAUAUGUUGAUGUUAAUGAUUUCCCGGCCGUAACUGAUGCAAAUGUACAAGCUCAAGGACAUUUGGAUGGCGAGGAUGCCGACGAUGAUGUUGACUGUGAUUCCGAGCAUAUGGAUUCUUCACGUGGCCAGGUUACCAUGUCGGAUUAUUAUAAGUACUAUGCCCAUUAUCGCGAAGGCGAGGUUAAUCCUUAUACAAGUUGUGGCCGGCUAAGUCAACAGAUUGUUGUUAAUGCUUACUCCUGUAUAGAGGCUGAUCGUUUGGAAUAUCAUUUUCGUAAGCAAGACAAGGUUCGAUCUGAGACCUAUCAGGGCAUAUCUGACGCUAUGGGUGAAGGUAAUUCAACUGGCAAGAAUGUUGGUGUGCAGUUCAUACUGCAUGGUAGUUUUACGGGCGGUCCACGGUACAUGCUUUUGAACUAUCAUGACGGGAUGGCCAUUUGUCGGCAGUACGGUGCACCUGAUCUGUUCAUUACUUUUACAUGCAAUCCUAGGUGGCAAGAGAUUGUCGAUGCUCUUGCUUCCGAACCUGGUCAAACUGCUGCUGAUCGGCCUGAUAUUACUACUCGUAUUUGUACGUUGUGGAGUUUGAAAAAAGGGGGUUUGCCACAUACUCACACGUUGGUGUGGCUGAAGGCAGAUACCAAGGAUCCGUCUCCUUCUUUUAUAGAUGGCCUUAUUUCUGCAGAGCUGCCGGGCCCUUUGGUUGAUCCUUUGGGUUAUGCUCUUGCUGAUAAAUUUAUGGUACAUGGACCUUGUGGGGCAUAUAAUGCUAAGUGCGCUUGCAUGAAGAACAAUAGUUGUUCCAAGCGCUUUCCUAAGCCUCUAAGCGAUGAUACAAUGAUUGAUCAUGUUGGAUAUCCAGUUUAUCGUCGACGUGACACUGGAUUGUAUGUCCUCAGGCAGAAAGACACGCUCCGUUUGGGAAAUCAAUGGGUUGUUCCAUACAACUUGAAUUUGUUGAAGAGGUUCGACGCUCAUAUAAAUGUGGAGUGGUGUAAUAAGACAAAAUUAUUGAAAUAUUUAUUCAAAUAUCUCACGAAGGGUCAUGAUGUAGUUCGCAUGCGUUUUCAUGCUGAAGACAUGCCUCCUGGUGUGUUCACUGUGCCAUGUCCUACCGGUAGAAAUGAAAUCGACGACUAUAUCAAAUGCAGGGACCUGUCUGCCUGUGAGGCCUUUUGGAGGUUGUUUGCGUAUAGUAUCCAUGGUAGUCAGCCUUCUGUCGAGCGUCUGGUUGUUCACUUACCUAACAUGAAUAGGGUCAUAUUUGCGGAGACUGAUAGUUUAGGAAAUGUUCUGGAGGAUUCUUCGUCAACUAAGACUAUGCUUACUGAGUGGUUUGCUACCAACCGGAAGCAUGUGUCUGCUAGGUCUUUAACAUACCUUGAUUUUCCGAGUGAGUGGGUUUGGAAUAAAAGUUCUAAAGUGUGGACGAAGCGGAAGCGCCCAGACAGCGACGAUCCCAUUAUCACAUAUACAGGCACACAUCCUCCCGUCGGACGUAUGCAAGAACUUGCAAAAUCACUUUAUCAUUACAUCACAGGCACCAAUCCUGCAGGAGGAUAUACUAGGAUGAUCUAA